UGAACUAUCGUGUCACGACAUGUU
rnacentral:siRNA from 1 species